UGGGGAAUUUUGGACAAUGGGCGCAAGCCUGAUCCAGCCAUGCCGCGUGAGUGAAGAAGGCCUUCGGGUUGUAAAGCUCUUUCGGCGGGGACGAAACGGUUCGUGACAACACCACGGACUAAUGACGGUACCCGCAUAAGAAGCACCGGCUAACUACGUGCCAGCAGCCGCGGUAAUACGUAGGGUGCAGGCGUUAAUCGGAAUUACUGGGCGUAAAGCGUGCGCAGGCGGUUUGUUAAGACAGGUGUGAAAUCCCCGGGCUUAACCUGGGAAUUGCGCUUGUAACUGGCAGGCUAGAGUGUGUCAGAGGGGGGUAGAAUUCCACGUGUAGCAGUGAAAUGCGUAGAUAUGUGGAGGAAUACCGAUGGCGAAGGCAGCCCCCUGGGAUAACACUGACGCUCAUGCACGAAAGCGUGGGGAGCAAACAGGAUUAGAUACCCCCGUAGUCCCUGAGCGGGCUGGCAAGGCGCAU
rnacentral:rRNA from 1 species